rnacentral:sRNA from 1 species
AUUUUCAGAUUUUUAUGUCUCUUUUAAUGCUACUAAUAUUCUAUACCAAGAACAACUUGUACAUUUUUACUGAAGGCUUACCUUGCACCUCAUGCUCUGCCAGGACUUGGGGGUUUCCCAGAGCUAGAGGUCCAGGGAUGGACUGUAAGUGCUAUGAGGUGGGAGACAUUGGUCUACCUUGCUCUACCAGCUCCUAUUUUUCCUGCCCUCAGCCAACUCCUGUAUGAGUUCUACACCUGCAUCCCUCCUGUGAAACUCCAGAAGCAGAAAGUACAGUCUAUGAAUGAGAUAGUCCAGAGCAACCUCUUUAAAAAGCAAGAAUGCCGGGACAUUCUGCUUCCUGUCAUCACCAAAGAGCUGAAGGAGCUGCUGGAGCAGGAUGAUAUGCAACACCAGGUCCUGGAGAAGAAGUACUGCAUUGAAUUGCUCAACAGCAUCUUGGAAGUCCUUAGCUACCAGGAUGUGGCCUUCACCUACCACCACAUCCAGGAGAUCAUGGUCCAGCUGCUGCGGACAGUGAACCGGACAGUCAUCACCAUGGGCCGGGAUCACAUUCUGAUUAGUCACUUUGUGGCAUGUAUGACAGCCAUCUUAAACCAGAUGGGUGACCAGCACUACUCCUUCUACAUUGAGACCUUCCAGACCAGCUCUGAACUUGUGGACUUCUUGAUGGAGACCUUCAUCAUGUUCAAGGACCUCAUUGGAAAGAACGUGUACCCUGGAGACUGGAUGGCCAUGAGCAUGGUUCAAAACAGGGUCUUCCUGAGAGCUAUCAACAAGUUUGCAGAAACCAUGAACCAGAAGUUCCUAGAACACACGAACUUUGAGUUCCAGCUGUGGAACAACUAUUUUCAUCUGGCAGUGGCUUUUAUCACCCAGGAUUCUCUGCAGCUGGAGCAGUUCUCACACGCCAAGUACAACAAAAUCCUGAAUAAGUACGGGGACAUGAGACGGCUAAUUGGCUUCUCCAUCCGUGAUAUGUGGUACAAGCUUGGUCAGAACAAAAUCUUCUUCAUCCCAGGCAUGGUGGGACCUAUAUUAGAGAUGACACUUAUCCCUGAGGCUGAGCUCCGGAAAGCCACCAUACCAAUCUUCUUCGACAUGAUGCUGUGUGAAUAUCAAAGAAGUGGGGAUUUCAAAAAGUUUGAAAACGAAAUCAUCCUGAAGCUGGACCAUGAGGUAGAAGGGGGCCGAGGUGAUGAGCAGUACAUGCAGCUGCUGGAGUCAAUCCUGAUGGAGUGUGCUGCAGAACACCCGACCAUUGCCAAGUCGGUGGAGAAUUUCGUGAACCUGGUCAAAGGCCUCCUGGAGAAACUGCUGGAUUACCGGGGUGUGAUGACAGAUGAGAGCAAAGACAACCGAAUGAGCUGCACUGUGAACCUGCUGAAUUUCUACAAAGAUAACAACAGGGAGGAGAUGUACAUAAGGUACCUAUACAAACUCCGUGAUCUUCACCUGGACUGUGACAAUUACACAGAGGCUGCCUACACGCUCCUUCUCCACACCUGGCUUCUCAAGUGGUCGGAUGAGCAGUGUGCAUCACAGGUCAUGCAGACAGGCCAGCAGCAUCCCCAGACCCACCGGCAGCUCAAGGAGACGCUCUAUGAGACCAUCAUAGGCUACUUUGACAAAGGAAAGAUGUGGGAAGAGGCCAUCAGUCUGUGCAAGGAGCUGGCGGAACAGUACGAGAUGGAGAUCUUUGACUAUGAACUGCUCAGCCAGAACCUGAUCCAGCAGGCAAAAUUCUAUGAAAGCAUCAUGAAAAUCCUCAGGCCCAAACCAGACUAUUUUGCUGUUGGAUACUAUGGCCAGGGAUUCCCCUCCUUCCUGCGGAACAAAGUGUUCAUCUACCGCGGGAAGGAGUAUGAGCGAAGGGAAGAUUUCCAGAUGCAGCUGAUGACCCAGUUUCCCAAUGCAGAGAAGAUGAACACCACCUCUGCCCCAGGAGAUGAUGUGAAGAAUGCCCCAGGCCAGUAUAUCCAGUGCUUCACUGUCCAGCCUGUCUUGGAUGAACACCCCAGGUUCAAGAAUAAGCCAGUGCCUGACCAGAUUAUAAACUUCUACAAAUCCAACUACGUGCAAAGGUUCCACUACUCCCGGCCCGUGCGCAGGGGGACCGUAGACCCAGAGAAUGAGUUUGCUUCCAUGUGGAUUGAGAGAACCUCCUUCGUGACUGCGUACAAGCUGCCGGGGAUCCUGCGCUGGUUUGAGGUGGUGCACAUGUCGCAGACCACAAUUAGUCCUCUGGAGAAUGCCAUAGAAACCAUGUCCACAGCCAAUGAGAAGAUCCUGAUGAUGAUAAACCAGUACCAGAGUGAUGAGACCCUCCCCAUCAACCCACUCUCCAUGCUCCUGAAUGGGAUUGUGGAUCCUGCUGUCAUGGGAGGCUUCGCCAAGUAUGAGAAGGCCUUCUUCACUGAAGAGUAUGUCAGGGACCACCCUGAGGACCAGGACAAGCUGACCCACCUCAAGGACCUGAUUGCAUGGCAGAUCCCCUUCUUGGGAGCUGGGAUUAAGAUCCAUGAGAAAAGGGUGUCAGAUAACUUGCGACCCUUCCAUGACCGGAUGGAGGAAUGUUUCAAGAACCUGAAAAUGAAGGUGGAGAAGGAGUACGGUGUCCGAGAAAUGCCUGACUUUGACGACAGGAGAGUGGGCCGCCCCAGGUCUAUGCUGCGCUCAUACAGACAGAUGUCCAUCAUCUCUCUGGCUUCCAUGAAUUCUGACUGCAGCACCCCCAGCAAGCCCACCUCAGAGAGCUUUGACCUGGAAUUAGCAUCACCCAAGACGCCGAGAGUGGAGCAGGAGGAACCAAUCUCCCCGGGGAGCACCCUGCCUGAGGUCAAGCUGCGGAGGUCCAAGAAGAGGACGAAGAGAAGCAGCGUAGUGUUUGCGGAUGAGAAAGCAGCUGCAGAGUCGGACCUGAAGCGGCUUUCCAGGAAGCAUGAGUUCAUGAGUGACACCAACCUCUCGGAGCACGCGGCCAUCCCCCUCAAGGCAUCUGUCCUCUCUCAAAUGAGCUUUGCCAGCCAGUCCAUGCCUACCAUCCCAGCCCUGGCGCUCUCAGUGGCAGGCAUCCAUGGGCUGGAUGAGGCCAACACAUCCCCCCGCCUCAGCCAGACCUUCCUCCAACUCUCAGAUGGUGACAAGAAGACACUCACACGGAAGAAGGUCAAUCAGUUCUUCAAGACGAUGCUGGCCAGCAAAUCGGCUGAAGAAGGCAAACACAUCCCAGACUCGCUGUCCACGGACCUGUGAGCUGCUGCUGACUAGGGCUGCAUGGGAGAGCCAGGGAGGGUUGUUUCUGGAAGAGGGAAGCCAUGCAUGGAACAUCGAAGCCUCAGAGAGUGGGAGACUGUCCCCAUCAGUUGUCCUCACUUAGAGGAGAGAGAGGGGCCAAUCAGUUCCCAGAGCUUGAGUGCUAACAAGCCCAGCAUCCCCUGGGGCUGUGAUCCUGGUGGAUGAGGAAGCCUCAACAUAGAUUCCUGAACUCAAGGUACCAGCAAGAAUGCCUUCUCCCAUUGUGCUCUCCCCAACAUCCUAGGCACAGCUUUCAUAACCCAGUUUCAUAGGUGUAAGAAACUGUUUUUAUUUCAUUUAUUAAGUCUCAGAACUUAACAGAAAAGGAAGCCUUUUAAAUAUUCUUUUUAAUUUUAUUUUAGAUUAACAGUUUUGUACUUUACAUUUUUUUUAUACAACCAACCAGUUUCUUUCCUAGCCAAUCAUCUCUGAAGAGUUGCUGUUUCUUACUGACAAUAAAAAAUGUUCUCUUGGUUCG